CAGCAGCAGCCGCGGGAAUACGUAGGGUGCAAGCGUUAAUCGGAAUUACUGGGCGUAAAGCGUGCGCAGGCGGUUAUAUAAGACAGAUGUGAAAUCCCCGGGCUCAACCUGGGAACUGCAUUUGUGACUGUAUAGCUAGAGUACGGCAGAGGGGGAUGGAAUUCCGCGUGUAGCAGUGAAAUGCGUAGAUAUGCGGAGGAACACCUAUGGCGAAGGCAAUCCCCUGGGCCUGUACUGACGCUCAUGCACGAAAGCGUGGGGAGCAAACAGGAUUAGAUACCCGCGUAGUCCCUGUCUCUUAUAC
rnacentral:rRNA from 1 species